UGAUGUUAUGUGGCACACGACAGUCGCAAAGUAAAGCUGGAAAUUGUAUUGCACUAGCAAUAAUGUCCUUGUCUGAUUGCAACAAUCUAUAAACCAAUUCAUAGGUUGGGACUUACUGACAAGGUUAACAAUGUCAGAAUUAGAAGCACCUUUGGAGAGUAAAAAUUGAAACUUUGGCAACACCCUUAUGGAGGGGUUGCAGGAAAGUAGCCCUGGUAACUUUGCAACGAUAUCGCGAAGUUGGGAGUUAGAGAAACUAUUAAAGAAUGUGAGAACAGAAUCAGGUUUUUGGGCAGUCUUGAAAGUAACAUUGUAAGUGGAACAAAGUUUGGAAGCAGAUUGUGGGGAACACCCAAACAAAAUUGUUGAUGAGAUAGGAAACUGCAAAAGAGGUUGAAUCUGAAGUGUUGGUAGAAAAAUGUCCAGAAAAUGGUUCUAUUAAGAUGUGUAGUUAACAUUUAAAAGAACAAUGUGAGAGAGAAAGCAAACGAAACAAUGCAUGAAUGAAUGAAGGAAAGAAUGAAUAAAACCAAAACUAAAUCACAGGAACAGGAACAGGUAAAUGAAAGGAAAACAUAAUUAAGAUGAUUUGAGAAACAUGAACCCU
rnacentral:lncRNA from 1 species